rnacentral:rRNA from 1 species
UACAGAGACUGCAAGCGUUAUUCGGAUUCACUGGGCUUAAAGGGCGCGUAGGCGGGCUGUCAAGUUUGGGGUGAAAUCCCGCGGCUCAACCGUGGAACUGCCUCAAAUACUGACGGUCUCGAGGGGGGUAGGGGCGAGCGGAACUGUGAGUGGAGCGGUGAAAUGCGUUGAUAUUCACAGGAACUCCGGUGGCGAAGGCGGCUCGCUGGACCUCUUCUGACGCUGAGGCGCGAAAGCCAGGGGAGCAAACGGG